CCCAGAACUACACUGAUGGUUAGCAGUGCCCUCAUCAAAGACUUUUGGGUAGGAGGGGGAGUGUUGGUAGAAAGAAGGAUUUUCCUCAUCCCAUCAUUGCCUAUAGGGAUUUGACUGAAGCCAACUUAAAGCCCAUAGUUAAUAGUGGCAGCUUUCCUACCCGGGGAUUUGGUCUCUACCUCCUCAUACAGAUUGUACCGCCUUGAUACAUAUAGACACUUAGUACAUCGAAGGCCCAUCCGGCUUCCCAGACCACGCCUCUCUUCGGAUGCCAGAUCCCACUUAAGCUGUCCAUCGCACCCCGGAUUCCCUUGCUGGUGGAGAGAGAUCACCUCAUUCCACAUCUCGGCUGUUUUCCCAAGGUGUAGCAGUCGAUGGGAAUUUUGAUUGGCCAAUCUAGGCACUUUGGAGGGCUUUCAAAUUUCGGUCUCCUCGGCCUAAGGAGAUGGUGGCACAUGGGCCGCACGAGCAUUUCCUGCCCUUCCGCAGCUAUAGGAAUUUCUGGAACCAUCUGAUGCAAUUGCUG